GCUUAUACUUGGUGGGCUUCAAUAUAUGGUCAUUAGGCACAGAUCUGGCUAUUUCACUGGUGGAUCAUUACAUAUCAUUAAUUGUAGGUUACUAUGAUCUGAGUGUGUUCUUGCAAAAUUUAUACGUUGAAAUCCUCACCCUCAAGGUGAUGACAUUAGGAAGUGGGGCCUUUGGAAGGUAAUUAGGUCAUAAGGCCAAAGCCAUCCAGAAUGAGAAUAGUACCCUUACAAAAGAGGCCCAAGACAGUUCCCUUGGACCUGCUGCCUUGUGAGGUUACAGUGAGAAGACAGGAAAUGAGCUUUCACCAGACACCAAACCUGCCAGUGCCUUGAUCUUGAACUUCCCAGCCUCCAGAACGGUGAGAAAUAAAGGUCUGUUGUUUAUAAGGCAUCCAGUCUAUGGUAUUUUGUUAUAGCAAUAAAACUUGACUAAAAAUAGUUUUCGUAUUGCAGGUAGGCUCUCAGGAGAAUAAAUUUAUAAUCUACUGCCCAGAGGAUAGAAACUUAAGAGCCAAGAAGGUAUCCUCAUCUAGCAUUUAGUAGUUGCAUGUGCAUCGCGUCCCGUGGUCUCCAGCCACCCCUUUAAGGUUUAAAGUUCUUGCACUGCAAUGUUACUGGGGAUAAUUUCAAUCCAUUCAUCAAGCAAGAGAACAGAUGCAACACAGUUCCCAGCAGCAAGGCUAUGUCUUUAUUCUUACACCUACAUAGGCCCAUAAGUUUAGGCAAGCCAUAGCGUCAGGCUACAGCCUGAAGAAGCACUUUUUCCCCAGGUUUUCUUUCACGAAUGCAAGCACCACAGCCCAGCCUCUGGUUUUGAAUACUGAGUUUGUCUCCAGUUCCACACCUUGCUUGAAGCAAUUUUAAUCCCAACUAUCCCGCAGCAUCCAAAUUCCUGGCUUCCACUGUUGUUUUGUGGUUCAGUGUCAAGUCUGUCAGGGACUUCCGCCCCAUUCUCUGCUUUACAUUUCUGUAAAUAUAUUUCUGUAAAUACACAUCAUGAUUUGAUAUGUAUUUGAUUAUCUUGUCAUCAACAUAUAUUUCUGUAAAUACAGUUCUGUAAAUAUAUCCUUUUUUAUUUUCUAUUUUUUCAUUGCUGUAUUUUGGGAGCAGAUGAGGAUAACACUUGGAUUAGAAAUCUCUAAUCAUUUUGCAUUGGUUUUUAUAAUAGGUACCAGCAUAACGUAUAUUUUUCCAUAAGGCAUAUACCCAAUAGAGGGACCACUAUUUUAUAGCCUUAAGUGGAAGCUCUGUUAUGAGACAUAUGUGUCUCAACCCAGCCGGUUCUAUACAGUUUACAAGACCAGGUAGAUCAUCAUGCUCCCCAGAGAGACCCAAGAUAAGAUGAUUAGGGUUAUUUUUCUAGCACAUAAAAUAGACUUCCUUUUCUGACAUGGAGGCCUGAAUCCUAACCAAAUUUCCUUGGUAACUGCAACAAGAACUGUCUACAUAUUGUUCCAAUUCCACCUUCAGUCCUUCAGGGAACAGUGUCUGGUGUGUGGCCUAUGUAACAUUACACAGCACUCUGGAGAUUCCACAGAUCUGCAGGCCUAGUAACAAAAAUAGAAGUUCAACUAACCAAUCAACCAACAAGGAUCACUCUGGGCCACCUAAGUCCUGUUACAGAAGACAAAGUAAUGAUCAGUCUCAUCACUCCCCUCCUUUAAACUUCAGUGUCCUUGGUACUAAUAACACUCAUGUUGGAAAU
rnacentral:lncRNA from 1 species